UGAGGAAUUUUCGUCAAUGGGGGCAACCCUGAACGAGCAACGCCGCGUGCAGGAAGAAGGUUUUCGGAUCGUAAACCGCUUUCAGCAGGGACGAAUUCAGACGGUACCUGCAGAAGAAGCGCCGGCUAACUACGUGCCAGCAGCCGCGGUAAUACGUAGGGCGCAAGCGUUGUCCGGAAUUAUUGGGCGUAAAGAGCUCGUAGGCGGCUUGUUGCGUCCGCUGUGAAAUCCCGGGGCUUAACCCUGGGCGUGCAGUGGAUACGGGCAGGCUGGAGGCAGGCAGGGGAGAACGGAAUUCCCGGUGUAGCGGUGAAAUGCGCAGAUAUCGGGAGGAACACCGGUGGCGAAGGCGGUUCUCUGGGCCUGUUCUGACGCUGAGGAGCGAAAGCGUGGGGAGCAAACAGGAUUAGAUACCCCCGUAGUCC
rnacentral:rRNA from 1 species